CGCAAUAAAGGGUGAUAGCCCCGUAAUCGACAUCUCAUAAUCAGUGAAAACGAGUAGGGCGGGACACGUGAUAUCCUGUCUGAAUAUGGGGGGACCAUCCUCCAAGGCUAAAUACUACUGACUGACCGAUAGUGAACCAGUACCGUGAGGGAAAGGCGAAAAGAACCCCUGUGAGGGGAGUGAAAUAGAACCUGAAACCGUGUACGUACAAGCAGUAGGAGCACCUUCGUGGUGUGACUGCGUACCUUUUGUAUAAUGGGUCAGCGACUUAAUUUUAGUAGCAAGGUUAACCGUUUAGGGGAGCCGUAGGGAAACCGAGUCUUAACUGGGCGUACAGUUGCUAGGAUUAGACCCGAAACCAGGUGAUCUAGCCAUGGGCAGGUUGAAGGUUGAGUAACAUCAACUGGAGGACCGAACCGACUAAUGUUUGAAAAAUUAGCGGAUGACUUGUGGCUAGGGGUGAAAGGCCAAUCAAACCUGGAGAUAGCUGGUUCUCCCCGAAAGCUAUUUAGGUAGGCCUCGGACGAAUACUACUGGGGGUAGAGCACUGUUAAGGCUAGGGGGUCAUCCCGACUUACCAACCCUUUGCAAACUCCGAAUACCAGUAAGUACUAUCCGGGAGACACACGGCGGGUGCUAACGUCCGUCGUGGAGAGGGAAACAACCCAGACCGCCAGCUAAGGUCCCAAAGUAUAGCUAAGUGGGAAACGAUGUGGGAAGGCUCAGACAGCCAGGAUGUUGGCUUAGAAGCAGCCAUCAUUUAAAGAAAGCGUAAUAGCUCACUGGUCGAGUCGGCCUGCGCGGAAGAUGUAACGGGGCUAAGCUAUACACCGAAGCUGCGGCUACGUACCUUAGGGUAUGUGGGGUAGGGGAGCGUUCUGUAAGCCGUUGAAGGUGGUCUGUAAGGGCUGCUGGAGGUAUCAGAAGUGCGAAUGCUGACAUGAGUAACGAUAAAGGGAGUGAAAAACUCCCUCGCCGGAAGACCAAGGGUUCCUGUCCAACGUUAAUCGGGGCAGGGUAAGUCGACUCCUAAGGCGAGGCCGAAAGGCGUAGUCGAUGGGAAACGGGUUAAUAUUCCCGACUUCUUACAAUUGCGAUGGGGGGACGGAGAAGGCUAGGUGGGCCUGGCGACGGUUGUCCAGGUUCAAGUACGUAGGCGGAAAGUUUAGGUAAAUCCGGACUUUC
rnacentral:rRNA from 1 species